GGAUUAGAUACCCUGGUAGUCCAUGCCGUAAACGUUGGGCACUAGGUAUGGGAUCAUAUCAACGGAUUCCGUGCCGUAGCUAACGCAUUAAGUGCCCCGCCUGGGGAGUACGGCCGCAAGGCUAAAACUCAAAGGAAUUGACGGGGGCCCGCACAAGCGGCGGAGCAUGUUGCUUAAUUCGAGGCAACGCGAAGAACCUUACCUGGGUUUGACAUGUAGGGUCUAGCUAUAGAGAUAUAGUGUGCAUUAGCGCCCUAUACAGGUGGUGCAUGGCUGUCGUCAGCUCGUGCCG
rnacentral:rRNA from 1 species